UACGGAGGGUGCGAGCGUUAAUCGGAAUUAUUGGGCGUAAAGGGUGCGUAGGUGGUUUAAUAAGUUAUCUGUGAAAUACCUGGGCUUAACCUGGGCAGGUCAGAUAAGACUGUUAGACUGGAGUAUGGGAGAGGGUAGAGGAAUUUCCGGUGUAGCGGUGAAAUGCGUAGAGAUCGGAAGGAACACCAGUGGCGAAGGCGUCUACCUGGCCUAAUACUGACACUGAGGCACGAAAGCGUGGGUAGCAAACAGG
rnacentral:rRNA from 1 species